GGAGGAGGCACCGGCGCGCGUGGCUGUCGGCAGGACUCGCCCACCCCGCCGGGCGCUUUUGUGUCUUUUUCUGUUUUGUUUGGUGUUUGUGUUUUGGGAUUUUUUUUUUUUUUGUUUGAGGGGGGAGGAAGUGUUUUGUUUGUUUCUGGGAAGGGGCUGUUGAAAGACUGCUUCUUGAGCUUGGGGAAGGAGCGGGAUCGCCCUCUCCUUGCGGAAAGGCCAGCAGUCCCCUUCCUCCGGCUGCAGACGGAUCCGCACACGCCCCCUCCUAGAGAGGAGCCUGACGGUGCUUUUUGAGAGACUGGCGGGAGCGAGACGCUGUCCUUUUCCCUUUUUUUAUUUCCUGAAAAGAGAGACAGAGGAAGGGGGAGGGAGGGGAAACCACACACACCUCUGGGUUCUUUGUUAUUGCCCAUUUUAUACGAAUAAAGAGGAGGGGGAGUGAUGCGUUGUGCUGAGCGCGCACUGGAUGUCUUGAGCAUUCGCCCUUUACAAUGAAAGAGCGAUCAGAACUGCUUGGGAAAAAAAAAAAAAAAAAAAAAAAAAAAAAAAAAAAAGAAAAAAAAAUCAUGCCAGCUAACCAUGUCAAGUUCACUGCCUGUCAGAUUGUUGAUAUACCUUCUGUAAAUAACCUCUCUUUUGUUUUGUUUUGUUUUUAUUUUCCUUUUUUUUUUUUUUUUUUUUUUUUUUUUUUUUUUUUUUUUUUUUUUUUUUUUUUUUUUUUUUUUUUUGAGGGCUGCAGACAGUGUAACCGCACCCACAUGAAGCGGAAGCGCAUUUUUUGUGUAGGACUGGCUAUGGUUGCAGAGAU
rnacentral:lncRNA from 1 species